rnacentral:rRNA from 1 species
CAGUAGCCGCGGGAAUACGAAGGGUGCAAGCGUUACUCGGAAUUACUGGGCGUAAAGCGUGCGUAGGCGGCUUUGUAAGUUAGAGGUGAAAGCCUGGAGCUCAACUCCAGAAUUGCCUUUAAGACUGCAUCGCUUGAACGUCGGAGAGGUGAGUGGAAUUCCGAGUGUAGAGGUGAAAUUCGUAGAUAUUCGGAAGAACACCAGUGGCGAAGGCGGCUCACUGGACGACUGUUGACGCUGAGGUACGAAAGCGUGGGGAGCAAACAGGAUUAGAUACCCCUGUAGUCCCUGUCUCUUAUAC